AGAUCCACUGGCCACAUGGAAUGUGAUCAGCAAGAGAGUGGUGCUGAAGCCCUGCAUAUAAGCAAAUGCCAACUCCAACCUCUGAGAGAACAAACAACACCAUCUUCUAGACAUGCUCCACAAACUAGCCAUUCAAGCCACAGGUUCUCAUCUCCACCAUGUACAUAGAAUUGUGCACAACUUUGCAACAACUCUUCUCAACAGUAGAUAUGCCUUUUAUACUGUUCAAAAAUAUCGUACGUAAUGGUUCCCAAGGAACCCGGUCAUUCCGCCCAUCGCAAUCUACUUUCAUUGAAGAGCUUAAUGACCAGUGCACAAAAGCACAUUUGGAGACACUUGCCAAAAGUAAUAU